AUUGAACGCUGGCGGCAGGCUUAACACAUGCAAGUCGAACGAGUGGCGGACGGGUGAGUAAUGCCUGGGAAACUGGCUGAUGGAGGGGGAUACCGACGGGAAACGGUCGCUCAUACCGCAUACCAUCGGAUGAGCCCAAGUGGGAUUAGGUAGUUGGGGGGGUAAUGGCACACCAAGCCGACGAUCCCUAUCUGGUCUGAGAGGAGGACCAGCCAAACCGGGACUGAGACACGGCCCGGACUCCUAUGGGAGGCAGCAGUGGGGAAUAUUGCUCAAUGGGGGCAACCUGACGCAGCCAUGCCGCGUGAAUGAAGAAGGCCUUCGGGUUGUAAAGUUCUUUCGGUGACGAGGCGUUAAUCACAGAAGAAGCACCGGCUAACUCCGUGCCAGAAGCCGCGGUAAUAC
rnacentral:rRNA from 1 species